ACGAAGACGAUGCCGCUGCCGGGUUGCUACUGCUGCCCCCUUGUUCUAUUAGAAACACUUCGAAGUGUGCUUCGCUUCCUUUCACCAGCCGCUCGUGCCGUUGAUAUUCAAUGUGCUUAUUAUUAUUCACUUCUAAAACUGUGCUUGAGAAACUACCUUGUAAAGAUUUUUUUUGUCCAACUGAAAAUUUGCUGUAUUCGUUAAGUAAAUCUUCAGUUGGCAAAUAGUAAUCCUGUUUAGCACUUCACUAGAAUAAGUCGUUGAAAAAGUGAACUAAGUGAGCGCACUCCACAAAGAUCACUGAUAUUUCAAAAGAAUAGUCUUCACAACGAACACUUCCAAACGUGUCAGCGUUUGGUAUUUUAUUUCGUUUUUUCUUGAAUUUGUUUCCGCGCCCGCCCUGCGCUGUUCUAUCGUUCUUUAGGCAGUGCACGGCCCGCUAAACAAAUAACAUCAGGUAUUAAACACUGAGGACUUCUUCACUACAACUUCACUUUAUGUAGUAAUACUGGACCUCAGCCAGCCAAUUGAACUGUAGCUACUGUUUCAAUAUUAAUUGUAGUCACUUCGUCGAUCGCUGGUUUCGAUUCGUGCUAGCUACCUUUUCAGAGCAGCCUUGCUAGAGUUGUUGUUACCGACAGCGUCGCCGUGCAAAACAUGGAACCCGCCUGUCGAAACGCUUGGCUCUACUCUGUUAGGCGAUAGUUGCUUAGUUAGUCGGUCUACUGUAUGGAUACUUCUGCUGCUGAUGGUUCGCUCGUUCAACGCGACGGCGGCGGUAGCGACGAUUGAGUUAGCUGCCAACAGCCUCGUGGCUUAAGCAAGGGCCAGCAGUAGCAGGGAGACGGACAGUAGGCAAGCGGCACACGCAGGCCGUGCCGGCAGCGGCCAAGAGUCUCUUUUGAAUGGGAGAAGGUAAAGAGGGCCCCGGGUGAGGGACAACAAACUACACACACCUCCGCCAUCACCAUUAUUAGCCCAGUAAAGUCGCACACCAUCCUGUUGGACGUAUCGCAACGGACAAAUGGUAAGCUUCACAGUAAUCAAAUGUCAGAUGCCGAAUGCGAAGCACCGUGAAUAUUUUGUAGGAGUUCCGACGCCAAUACACGCCAUCUGCGCCACGGUUAAACUUCAGUGUGAGUCUAUCUGGCAUCUGUUGAUAUGAUUUCGAUCGUCUCACUUCUACAAAUUUACGGCAAUAAGGUUACGUACGGUACCUUCGAAUAGUAAUACGUAUGUGGUAUAUCUGCCAUAUAAGGACGAUUUGAGUGCUGGCGGUGCCGUAGUGAAUAGGGAUACGCUGUACAGUGAUUUAUGGUUCUGUUGAACCGGUAGCUCACAUCUGUAUGAUCCUAAUACUUGAGCGGGGGCAUCGAUAUCGGGGCAUCGUGAAAACCGCAGGCCGUAGCAUAUGGAAAACGAAAAAGAUACGCGUACUGUGCCGUUUGAAUCAAGAAGCAUCGGUAAUAGCGUCGCAGACAACGGAGCUCCUGGAAUUCAUACUUUAUAAUUUUCUAUAGAAGAGUGCAUAGAUUUCUUUUUCGAGAUAACUUUAAAUAAUUAUCAUAAGAUAAAAUUUCGAUGGAAGUUUUUUCAACCAGCAUAACCACGGAAUGCUCAAAGUAUUAGUCGGCGGCUUCCUAGCUCAGAGAAUAUUUGGAAGUUGACAUAUAUUUGAUUAUUUCUAUUGCAAUAUCAAAAACGUGAAUUUUACCGUUUUACUACUAAGUCCAUAGAAAAAUAUAGUUUGUCAAAUUAUAAUGGUUUCAGCCAGAAACUGGGUAGCUAAACGACUAACCUGGUCACAGAUCCGGUACCCCAUUAAGAACUCUACAAGGUGUCCUGAAAACAAAAGCAAUGUUUUUCCUAAUUACGACACACAAGGAUAUUCAAAGAUAUAUAAUUUUCGUAAUUUUAUGAUCUCAUUCGUCUUUUUCGGAUAACUGAAGAAAAUAUGAUUAGAUCGACAAUUAGGCAAUUGAAACCUGCACUGCGGUAAUAUCGGAGACAGAAGGUACUGAAGUAAAAUAAAACUGCAGAAUAGAGCUGAGUGAUUUCAAGCGCCAGAACAAUGACGUCUAUCGGUCAAAUUGAUUACGGAAUACUGCGUGCGGUGGUACAAACGAGAAUUGCAUCUUAUAUGUAGUUUUUUAUAUCUUCGCAAUAGUUGGUAUUUUUUUACUAUUUCUAAUGCUUUUUCGAGUAAAAAAUGCCGAGUUCUGCCUCUUAUCACAAAUUUAGGUACCUUAGUGACCAGAUGCUUUUUAUUAGGCUCCUUGAAAAUUUUUUUCAAAAAGUCUGCCCCGGUAUCUUCGAAAUCGACUACUAUAAUGAUCUAUGGCGUUUACAUGUCUAGAAAAAACACAAGGAAUAAAAAUUCUACUAUAUUUGGCGUGGAGUGAACGUUAAAAUUUUCGUUUUGUAUUAGUGAGACGCUAUAGCCUUUUUUGGCACGAAGCUAAUUUUUGUCUGUAAUAAUUUAAGAGCAGUUCCUAUAUAGCGUAUUGCCCAAAUAUGUCAACGCUGUUUAUUUAAGAAAGUCGACUCUUAAUACGAAUCGACAGGACAACAGAUUCACUAUGACCGAAAUCGACAUUUGAGGACUAAACAAGCACGAUAAGUUAUAAAAGGUGGCCUCAAAGGCCUAAGACCAACAGAGCUUCAAGCUACACAUAAAGUAUAUAUAUCUUCAACGUUAAACAGGACCGAUCAUAAUAACUCAUAGAUUACCAAUUAUGUAGAACUGGAUAUAUUGAGCGAGAGCGAGAUGCAGCGACCGUUAUAGUCAGGGUGUCCAAGUCAAGCCAUCUGUUUUGCCAAUUUUAGCGUUGGUCUACACGUAACGUCAUCUCGUAAUAUGCUCAGUUUUUUUUUGAGGAGUCUAAUAAAAUUAAAAAAGGAAUAAUAAAAGAUUCUUAAAGUUCAUAUUAAAAAGUGUGCCUAGAUAUUUACAUCGGCAUAAUUUUCUUUUUUUAGUAUUUAUUUUAUAAUAUAUAUGGUCAAAAUAAUAGUAUAAUAAAGUCGUACAAUACAAAUAAGGUUCUAUAUAAAAUAUGUGAGCUCCCAGUUUUCAGAGGUUCUACAGGCCAACUAAUAUACUGAAUCAGAAGUACACGGAGAAAAUAUAGCAUGCAAUGCGUUGGUCUUGCUAGGUAGAUUUCAAUCUAAGCACACAGAUAUUAAGAUCAUUCAACUUCACUAUUUGCUAAAAAGAACAUGUUAGGAAUAUGUAUUGUUGUAUUAUGCGUCUUUUUGACCGAAUAAUAGCGGUAAGCCGAGCUGCUAGGUUCACUGGCUUUUUUUGCACAGAGAUCACGCCACAAAAAGUGCGUGUUGAGACAGUUAAACAAAAAACGGAUGCUUUAUGGACGAUGUUUAAACUUGGCGGUCAGGUAAUAUACAGUGAAUGACAGGUUUCCAUGCAGACGUCCAUGUACGGUGACUUUUGCAGCCAAUGAGGAUUGGCGGAAAAAUGCAUACGGUGAACCUCUUAUAUGAGUGAUAACUCUGAAACCUUAUUUAUCUCUUAUCAUUUCCUCACUAUGCUCUAUCAAAACUAUAGAACAAAAAUUCAGACCUUAGUGUUGUUAUAAUGCAAAUUAACAGCAAAGUUCAGAAUAGCAUGGGUCGUCGAAUUGGUGUAAAUUAGACAUCGUGAGGGUAUCUCACACUGGAGAAAUCAGACCGUUAAAUUUCCAAUUUUUCCGCAGUCUUCCCGUAAAUACUGGCUGCCGAAAUUAGCCGACACUAAAGAAGUGUUUCUGAUUUUAGAAUAGCAAGUGGAAAGGACUUACAUAAAAAGAGGCAUUCACGAUUGCCAAUGAGAGUGUUGAGUGGCUGAAAGAGUAUUAAAGGCUCAAGUACGAUUCCUUGUUUGAUGCUGGAGGGCCCUAGUCAUCUGGUAAAAUUUAAAAAGAUGGUACGUAAAGCUCAGAAGCAUUUAGUAUAUUAAGGAGCCCUAACACUCCCUGAUCAGCAAGUAGGACAUUGUUUAUUCCUUCUAUGGCGGGAAAAAAAUUAUACGGCGUAGUCAUCGUCAACUUUCUUAGCAAUAUAAUUUGGUUAAUUGUCAUUCUUGCAUGAGAUUAUCAUUUCUACAUGAUAACUCUCAAAUAGUCUGAAAUCUAGCUUGCAAAAAUAUCCUGGCUUAAAGAUAUUUUGAAAGAAGGUUUGUGAAAUUUAAUUGCCAAAUUGAUUGGAACAAUAGCAAUAAUAACAAUAAUUACAAUAACCCUAACCUAGUUUAAUUAUUCUGUGAUGAAUGAGACACACAAUAAUUCAUAACAACGCGAGAUAUACCGUUGCACUACGAUGCCUAUUCUGAGAUAAACGAAUCUAUUAUUAGGAAUAUAUAAAAAUAUAAAGUAUCGUAUUCAUAGACGUGAGUCAACAUCUAUGUGAGGCCAGAGAAAGUGUCGGCAGGACGAUCGUUCUUGUCUGCCGAUAAUUAGAUCUACGAUGGUGCACUUUAUUUCAGUGGCAGCGGUGGGAUGAGCAGGAGUUAGCAUCAGUAUGUUUAGCUGCUGAGAGCCGACCUUCUACACGAUUGUAAAACACCAGCGGAGUUGAUAGUCGGUUAGAGUAGGUCGGAUCACUGAGUCGAAAAGUCUGAGCGUCUCGACGCUGGUCGGGUAGCGCUACGGGUGCGCAACCGUAGACGAAUCGGCGCGAGCAAGUAUUACACACCAAAUGUCUACCCGUUCGGAAACACCGCAGGCAUGUUCCGUAAAGCCAGCUCAGUAUCUGCAAGGCCAAAAUGCGAAUCAAAGUAUAGCACUUACGAGCACGACUUUCGGAUCUUCUAACCAGUCUGCUAGUCCUGCUCCAUGUCAGCACCAUUUGUAUGCAAAGUCGACGUGUGUCCGCGUACCGCACGUCUCCGAGGCGACGUCUAACUAAGAGCUCUCAUUAAGCUGCACCAGUUCGUCGGCUGUUACCGGUUAGAAUUGGUAACCGUGUUGCAAACUGAAAACUAACUCUAGUAGUUCGCGCAUACGAAAAAGAUAUGGUACCGUUCCGGGCGGAUGGAAUUGCAUUGUUUUCUCGAUAAGGCAAGUUGCGAUUAUAUGAUCCUUUGGCUCCAAGAUUGCUCGACAGGAGAAACCUCGCUUGAACUCAUGGAUAUAUCCUCAACGGUAAUAUUUGCUACAGGAGGAAGCAAAACAGUGAUCGAACACUGCUCGUUGUGGAUGUUUGACGAGGUAAGCCUUGUCUUCAUAAAGACAAAAGCGGGCGUCUGCAGGCGUCAUUCAUGCGUUAACCAACCGGCUUACUCUAGGCUUCAUGGACAGCGCCAAAAACAUGCAACGCAGCGGACCUCGAUCACAUCGAAAUGCGAAAGCCAGUAGUAACCAGAGUUUCAGCCUAGAAGCAUAGUACGACAGCUAUCUCGAAAUAAAAGGUAAAAGACGAUGUCUUGUAUUACAAAGCGCGAGAAAUUUCUGCAGGAAGGGUAAGUCUGGCCAAAAUGGUACAAAUUGUAUUUUAUUUACUUUAAAUAACAAAAUACAUCUUUAUUCAAGGGUGAACUGGAAUAAAUAGAUAUGAUAUUAACGAAAGCACAGGAACGUCAUGGAUUCAAUUUUUUUCAAAUAAACUAAAAAUAUGCUUCUGACUGGAACCAGUAACUGUUGUAUGGUGGUGUGAUCCUGGUUGGAAACGCGUUACGCAGAAUUGCCUAAUAGAAUGUUUACGAAGCCAUCUACCUACAAGCGACAGAAAUUAAUGUUUUUUUUUUAAUUAAAUCAUACGUUUAAUGUAUGUCAUUAAGAGGACUUAAAUCAACGACCUCUAGCUGUCUUAGCCAAAAGUUCAGCCGUCAAAGUCGAAACUCCCAUGCAAAAUCCUGAUAAGUAAAGGACGUAUUUAUCAAUUAAUAUAUUAAAAUAUAUAAUAUAUAAAAAAAAUAUGGUUAACAUAUUAACCAUAUUUU